GAUGAACGCUGGCGGCGUGCCUAAUACAUGCAAGUCGAGCGAACAGACGAGGAGCUUGCUCCUCUGACGUUAGCGGCGGACGGGUGAGUAACACGUGGAUAACCUACCUAUCAGACUGGUAUAACUUCGGGAAACCGGAGCUAAUACCGGAUAAUAUAUUGAACCGCAUGGUUCAAUAGUGAAAGACGGUUUUGCUGUCACUUAUCGAUGGAUCCGCGCCGCAUUAGCUAGUUGGUAAGGUAACGGCUUACCAAGGCGACGAUGCGUAGCCGACCUGUGAGGGUGAUCGGCCACACUGGAACUGAGACACGGUCCAGACUCCUACGGGAGGCAGCAGUAGGGAAUCUUCCGCAAUGGGCGAAAGCCUGACGGAGCAACGCCGCGUGAGUGAUGAAGGUCUUCGGAUCGUAAAACUCUGUUAUUAGGGAAGAACAAAUGUGUAAGUAACUAUGCACGUCUUGACGGUACCUAAUCAGAAAGCCACGGCUAACUACGUG
rnacentral:rRNA from 1 species